GAUGAACGCUGGCGGCGUGCCUAAUACAUGCAAGUCGAACGCAUAGCGAAAGGUGCUUGCCCCUUUCAAGUGAGUGGCGAACGGGUGAGUAACACGUGGACAACCUGCCUCAAGGCUGGGGAUAACAUUUGGAAACAGAUGCUAAUACCGAAUAAAACUUAGUGUCGCAUGACACAAAGUUAAAAGGCGCUUCGGCGUCACCUAGAGAUGGAUCCGCGGUGCAUUAGUUAGUUGGUGGGGUAAAGGCCUACCAAGGCAAUGAUGCAUAGCCGAGUUGAGAGACUGAUCGGCCACAUUGGGACUGAGACACGGCCCAAACUCCUACGGGAGGCUGCAGUAGGGAAUCUUCCACAAUGGGCGAAAGCCUGAUGGAGCAACGCCGCGUGUGUGAUGAAGGCUUUCGGGUCGUAAAGCACUGUUGUAUGGGAAGAACAGCUAGAGUAGGAUAUGAUGUUAGUUUGACGGUACCAUACCAGAAAGGGACGGCUAAAUACGUG
rnacentral:rRNA from 1 species